rnacentral:tmRNA from 1 species
GGGGCUGAUUCUGGAUUCGACGGGAUUUGCGAAACCCAAGGUGCAUGCCGAGGGGCGGUUGGCCUCGUAAAAAGCCGCAAAAAAAUAGUCGCAAACGACGAAAACUACGCUUUAGCAGCUUAAUAACCUGCUUAUAGCCCUCUCUCCCUAGCCUCCGCUCUUAGGACGGGGAUCAAGAGAGGUCAAACCCAAAAGAGAUCGCGCGGAUGCCCUGCCUGGGGUUGAAGCGUUAAAACGAAUCAGGCUAGUCUGGUAGUGGCGUGUCCGUCCGCAGGUGCCAGGCGAAUGUAAAGACAGACUAAGCAUGUAGUACCGAGGAUGUAGGAAUUUCGGACGCGGGUUCAACUCCCGCCAGCUCCACCA